rnacentral:ncRNA from 1 species
AAUAUGCAUUAAGAGUGAGAUUAAUUUCUCCUCCAACCUGCCAACUCCGGCAAGGUGGAAAAGUGAUGCGGUUAUUCAACAAUAAAGGAGUAGAAA